CCCACCCACACACACCCUUUUUAAGGGCCUCCCACCCACCCACACACACACAUACACAGAUUGCGUACACUGGUGUCCCACACACACACACACACACACACACAGAUUGCGUACACUGGUGUCCCAUAAAUCCUGGCAGAGUUUGAUGAUGGGGGAAAUGUGUUCACAAGACGAUUUUCUCACCAACUCACGCAGACAAACAACCAGAUCACUGAAUAUAGGUUAUAGUAUGUUUCUACUACUGUGAGCUCAUGAGGUAAACAGCACUCUCAAGAGUGAGUAGGUAAGAACAUAUCCGUGAGUCUCGUCACACCGACAAUGCACACCUCUAACCUUUUUAUUGCAUACUCAGCAAAUGUCUCUUCCACAAAUCUGUCAUCAUACCUAUCGAGUGAACACAAAAACUGUUCUAGUUCCUGGAACAAUACGUACGGACAUUUCUCUCUCCAAUUUGGAAGGGAGGUGUUGGCUGCUCCUCUUGUUCUGAAUCUGCCCAAUUGGAUCUACUGGAAGUCGUGUCUGGCAACAAAUGACGAGGAGAUGAAAGCUGCUCUAGAAAUGAUAUAAAGAAAUUGACCCAUUAAUAUUUUUUCACCAUAAUUAUUUUAUUGACAAUGAUGAUCACAUUUUUGUACGCGUUGUAAUUAUAAUGUUGAUAAAAAAUUUUAUGUUUUCAUA